AUCGCUUCUUGGACUUUUGGCUAAGAUCAAGUGUACUAUCUGUUCUUAUCAGUUUAAAAAUGGAGGUCAGAUAAUGUGGCUCACUAGUUUAAAAUCAUCCAGUGGCUUCCCAUCACUC
rnacentral:snRNA from 1 species